UUCCUUUAAAUUUUAAUUUAUUCAAACAUAUAACAUUUUGGUCCUUAUAUUUUAAUUUAUUGCAAUUAAUAUUUUGAAUUUUAAAAAUUAUUAUAAUUAAAGUCUUAUAAUUUAUUGUUUGGUCCUCAAACUAUGAGGCCCGUGACAAUAUAGUCCUCAAAUUUUAUUUUGUUUUAAUUUCUUAAACUUUUGUAAAAUACUAUAAUCAAGUCAUAUAAUCCAAUUUAGUUAAUUGCACAUUGAUAUGUUGUUAAUAUAAAAAUGAUCUGAUAUCUUGAGUUCGGUUACUAUAUUAUUAAUAGCACCAAGCGCUUAGUACUGUCGAGUUUUCUACCGCUAGAUCUAUUCCUUUAACUAUUUUCACCUAUUGGAUCAUACUAUUCAACCAACCAUCCACUCAAUUCUAAUGGCGCGUUUGAUUCAAGUUAUGUAAUAUUACAGAGUAUUUCGAUAUAUCUAGGUAUCUUGAAUUUCUAAAAAAAAUUACUACUUAUGCUGGAUUAGCGUGUUUGGUUUAAUACAGUAAUAUAAUGCUGGAUUGCAGUGUUUGUAGUAUUAAUAUGUUUGGUUCUGUUUAUAAAAUUCAGUAAUCUAGACAAUUAUUUGGUGUUAUUAAGAAUAUAAUAGCCCAGUUCAUGAUAUUUUAACUAUUAUCAUAUUAUUAAUCAUUAUAUUACUAUAUCACUAUUUAAUCAAUUAAAUUGGACUAUAAAGCUUAAUUAACAACUCAUAAAGUUGGAAUAAGAAAUUAUAACAAACUAAAAAUUAAAGAACUGAAGUGUCACUUAUCUUUUAUCGGGAAGCUCCUCAUCGGGGGUUGAGUAAAUUUAAAAUUUACCAUCAUUUAGAAACAUCUUUUUUUUUAGCAGCUCAAUUGACACUCAUCCUUAGUACCAAAUUUGGCUUCAUUUGGUUCGAAUAUAAGCAAAAAUUAAUUAUUACAGGUAUAGGUACAAAUAUGGGGAUAAGAAAAAUAGCGUUUUGAUGAAAAUUAGGUUGUUUCCGGGAUAAAAAAAAUAACAUUUGGAUAGAUAAUAUGAAAUAAAAAAAAUAAUGGAUAGUUAUGUAUAGAAAAUAUAGUAGGGAUGCAAACGGGGCGGAUCCGGGGGCGGGAGAGUUCCCCCACCUCCCGCUCCAUUUCUUAUCGGGGCGGGGCGGAUUCGGGGCGGGUUACUUUUCAUUUUAUUUUUGGCUCCCACUUACCGCUCCAUUAGGGACGGAUCGGGGCGGGAGCCGGAUUUUUGACGGAUCAGGGCGGAUUGAAGGAAGAAAAGAGUCCCCCACAUCCC
rnacentral:lncRNA from 1 species